rnacentral:rRNA from 1 species
GAUGAACGCUGGCGGCGUGCUUAACACAUGCAAGUCGAACGAAGCACUUUACAAGAAACUUUUCGGAGGGACGAAGAAAGUGACUGAGUGGCGGACGGGUGAGUAACGCGUGGGUAACCUGCCAUAUACAGGGGGAUAACAGUUAGAAAUGACUGCUAAUACCGCAUAAGCGCACAGUAUCGCAUGAUACGGUGUGAAAAACUCUGGUGGUAUAUGAUGGACCCGCGGCUGAUUAGCUAGUUGGUAAGGUAAUGGCUUACCAAGGCAACGAUCAGUAGCCGGCCUGAGAGGGUGAACGGCCACCUUGGGACUGAGACACGGCCCAAACUCCUACGGGAGGCAGCAGUGGUGAAUAUUGCACAAUGGGGGAGACCCUGAUGCAGCGACGCCGCGUGAGUGAAGAAGUAUUUCGGUAUGUAAAGCUCUAUCAGCAAGGAAGAAAAUGACGGUACUUGACUAAGAAGCCCCGGCUAACUACGUGCCAGCCGCCGCUGUAAGAC